UACGUAGGGGGCAAGCGUUGUCCGGAAUCAUUGGGCGUAAAGCGCGUGUAGGCGGUCCGGUAAGUCCGCUGUGAAAGUCAGGGGCUCAACCCUUGAAAGCCGGCCGAUACUGUCGGACUAGAGUCCGGAAGAGGCAAGUGGAAUUCCCGGUGUAGCGGUGAAAUGCGCAGAUAUCGGGAGGAACACCAAUGGCGAAGGCAGCUUGCGUGGACGGUACUGACGCUGAGGCGCGAAAGCGUGGGGAGCAAACAGG
rnacentral:rRNA from 1 species